GACAAUUGCGGGGGCUACCAUGCAGUCGCACGAGAACGUUUCAGCUUGCUGAGAUUAGUAAAGUGGCGCACGGGUGAGUAACGCGUGGGUAAUCUACCUCCGAAUUGGGGAUAACACUGCGAAAGCGGUGCUAAUACCGAAUGAUAUCCCCGAGACUCUGGUCUUGGGGAUCAAAGGUGGCCUCUACAUGUAAGCUACUGUUUGGGGAUGAGCCCGCGUACCAUUAGCUUGUUGGUAGGGUAACGGCCUACCAAGGCUGCGAUGGUUAGCUGGUCUGAGAGGAUGAUCAGCCACACUGGAACUGACACACGGUCCAGACUCCUACGGGAGGCAGCAGUGAGGAAUUUUGCGCAAUGGGGGAAACCCUGACGCAGCAACGCCGCGUGAGUGAUGAAGGCUUUCGGGUCGUAAAGCUCUGUCAAGUGGGAAGAACCUGCUUCGUGCCAAUAUCACGAGGCACUGACGGUACCACUGAAGGAAGCACCGGCUAACUCCGUGCCAGCAGCCGCGGUAAUACGGGGGGUGCUAGCGUUAUUCGGAAUCAUUGGGCGUAAAGGGCGCGUAGGCGGUCGCUUAAGUCAGAUGUGAAAGCCCUCGGCUUAACCGAGGAAGUGCAUUUGAUACUAAGCGACUUGAGUAUGGGAGAGGGAAGCGGAAUUCCUGGUGUAGCGGUGAAAUGCGUAGAUAUCAGGAGGAACACCGGUGGCGAAGGCGGCUUCCUGGACCAAUACUGACGCUGAGGCGCGAAGGCGUGGGGAGCAAACAGGAUUAGAUACCCUGGUAGUCCACGCAGUAAACGGUGAACACUAUGUGUAGCGGGUAUUGACCCCUGCUGUGCCGCAGCUAACGCAUUAAGUGUUCCGCCUGGGAAGUACGGCCGCAAGGUUAAAACUCAAAGGAAUUGACGG
rnacentral:rRNA from 1 species